rnacentral:rRNA from 1 species
GACGAACCGUGCGAACGUUGUUCGGAAUCACUGGGCUUAAAGGGCGCGUAGGCGGGCGGGCAAGUCAGGGGGGAAAUCCCACGGCUCAACCGUGGAAGUGCCUUUGAUACUGCCGGUCUGGAGGGAGGUAGGGGCGUGCGGAACUUCCGGUGGAGCGGUGAAAUGCGUAGAUAUCGGAAGGAACACCGGUGGCGAAAGCGGCGCGCUGGACCUCUACUGACGCUGAGACGCGAAAGCGUGGGGAGCAAACAGG